rnacentral:rRNA from 1 species
AGGACGAACGCUGGCGGCGUGCUUAACACAUGCAAGUCGAGCGGAAAGGCCCUUCGGGGUACUCGAGCGGCGAACGGGUGAGUAACACGUGAGUAAUCUGCCCCUAGCUCUGGGAUAGCUCCGGGAAACCGGGAUUAAUACCGGAUACGACCACCUUAAACAUCUUUUGUGGUGGAAAGAAUUUCGGCUAGGGAUGAGCUCGCGGCCUAUCAGCUUGUUGGUGGGGUAACGGCCUACCAAGGCGACGACGGGUAGCCGGCCUGAGAGGGCGACCGGCCACACUGGGACUGAGACACGGCCCAGACUCCUACGGGAGGCAGCAGUGGGGAAUAUUGCGCAAUGGGCGAAAGCCUGACGCAGCGACGCCGCGUGGGGGAUGAAGGCCUUCGGGUUGUAACCCCUUUCAGCAGGACGAAGCGAAAGUGACGGUACCUGCAGAAGAAGCGCCGGCUAACUACGCGCCAGCAGCCGC